AAUAAACUUAUAAAUCUAAUUUGUUUGUUUUCUUUAACAAUCUGCCUCUCGAGCUAUAGCGAGGUUCCUCCUCCUGAACAUUGUAUGUUUGCAUGCAUGAUACUUCGGCUAAACCAUUCGACCUUGGGAAGUGAGGACUAGACAUUAUGUGUUCUAUAUCCCAAUCACUAAGAAAUUUCUGGAAUUCCUGACUAUUAUACGGCGGACCUCCAUCGCUGACUAGUUGCAAUGGGAUUCCAUGCCGGGAAAACAUUGACUUUAAAUGUUGAAUGACAGUUUGACUUCUAUGAUCUGUGUUUAACUGUGCAAUUUCUAUGUAAUUUGAAUAGUAGUCUACUACCAAUAGAUAUUUUUUACUAUUGUAGUCAAAUAAAUCUGUUGCCAACUUUUGCCAUGGUAGGCAAGGCUGGUCAUGUGACAAUAAA